GGAAAUCUCACCAGGCCCGGACACUGGAAGGAUUGACAGAUUGAUAGCUCUUUCUUGAUUCAGUGGGUGGUGGUGCAUGGCCGUUCUUAGUUGGUUGAGUGAUUUGUCUUGUUAAUUCCGAUAAUGAACGAGACUCUGUCCUGCUAAAUAGUGACGCGGUUCAUCGAACCGUGGGCCACUUCUUAGAGGGACUAUCGGAUUCAAACCGAUGGAAGUGUGAGGCAAUAA
rnacentral:rRNA from 1 species